rnacentral:pre_miRNA from 1 species
UAGCAGCGGGAACACUACUGCAGUGGGCGAUCGGUGCUCUGGAGUAUUGUUUCUGCUGCCCGG